UUUUAUUUGAGAGUUUGAUCCUGGCUCAGGAUGAACGCUGGCGGCGUGCCUAACACAUGCAAGUUGAGCGAUUUACUUCGGUAAAGAGCGGCGGACGGGUGAGUAACGCGUGGGUAACCUACCCUGUACACACGGAUAACAUACCGAAAGGUAUGCUAAUACGGGAUAAUAUAUUUGAGAGGCAUCUCUUGAAUAUCAAAGGUGAGCCAGUACAGGAUGGACCCGCGUCUGAUUAGCUAGUUGGUAAGGUAACGGCUUACCAAGGCGACGAUCAGUAGCCGACCUGAGAGGGUGAUCGGCCACAUUGGAACUGAGACACGGUCCAAACUCCUACGGGAG
rnacentral:rRNA from 1 species